rnacentral:rRNA from 1 species
AACGAACGCUGGCGGCAUGCCUAACACAUGCAAGUCGAACGAGACCUUCGGGUCUAGUGGCGCACGGGUGCGUAACGCGUGGGAAUCUGCCCUUGGGUUCGGAAUAACAGUUAGAAAUGACUGCUAAUACCGGAUGAUGACUUCGGUCCAAAGAUUUAUCGCCCAAGGAUGAGCCCGCGUAAGAUUAGCUUGUUGGUGAGGUAAGAGCUCACCAAGGCGACGAUCUUUAGCUGGUCUGAGAGGAUGAUCAGCCACACUGGGACUGAGACACGGCCCAGACUCCUACGGGAGGCAGCAGUGGGGAAUAUUGGACAAUGGGCGAAAGCCUGAUCCAGCAAUGCCGCGUGAGUGAUGAAGGCCUUAGGGUUGUAAAGCUCUUUUACCCGGGAUGAUAAUGACAGUACCGGGAGAAUAAGCCCCGGCUAACUCCGUGCCAGCAGCCGCAGUAA